rnacentral:rRNA from 1 species
GCUGCGGCAGGCCUAACACAUGCAAGUCGAGCGGUAACAGGGAGUAGCUUGCUACUCCGCUGACGAGCGGCGGACGGGUGAGUAAUGUCUGGGGAUCUGCCUGAUGGAGGGGGGGAUAACUACUGGAAACGGUAGCUAAUACCGCAUAACGUCGCAAGACCAAAGAGGGGGACCUUCGGGCCUCUUGCCAUCGGAUGAACCCAGAUGGGGAUUAGCUAGUAGGUGGGGGUAAUGGCUCACCUAGGGCGACGGAUCCCUAGCUGGUCUGAGAGGAUGACCAGCCACACUGGAACUGAGACACGGUCCAGACUCCUACGGGAGGCAGCAGUGGGGAAUAUUGCACAAUGGGGCGCAAGCCUGAUGCAGCCAUGCCGCGUGUGUGAAGAAGGCCUUCGGGUUGUAAAGCACUUUCAGCGAGGAGGAAGGCAUUGAGGUUAAUAACCUCGGUGAUUGACGUUACUCGCAGAAGAAAGCACCGGGCUAACUCCGUGCCCAGCAGCCGCGGGUAAAUA